UCUCUAUCAGCCUUUUAUCUUUCGUUCCAGCAAACACUUUCUCUCACUGAAACCCUACUUUCUCCCCCCACAGACGCCGGCGGCGACCCCAGUUUAGCUUCUUCGAGCUUCACUUCGACAAUAUGGCAAGGGGAUUGAAGAAGCAUUUGAAGAGGCUUAACGCCCCAAAGCAUUGGAUGCUUGACAAACUUGGUGGUGCAUUUGCUCCCAAACCUUCAUCUGGACCUCAUAAGUCGAGGGAAUGCCUUCCGUUGAUCCUUAUUUUGAGGAACCGAUUGAAAUAUGCUCUCACAUACCGUGAGGUAAUUUC